rnacentral:rRNA from 1 species
GACGAACCGUGCGAACGUUGUUCGGAAUCACUGGGCUUAAAGGGCGCGUAGGCGGGCUGCCAAGUCUGGGGUGAAAUCCCACGGCUCAACCGUGGAACUGCCUCGGAUACUGGCGGUCUCGAGGGAGGUAGGGGCAUGCGGAACUGUGGGUGGAGCGGUGAAAUGCGUUGAUAUCCACAGGAACUCCGGUGGCGAAAGCGGCGUGCUGGACCUCUUCUGACGCUGAGGCGCGAAAGCGUGGGGAGCAAACAGG